rnacentral:lncRNA from 1 species
AAAAUCUUUAUCGAGUCUCUUCUUUAUGUUGUUUUAAAAACUAAACACUUGUUUAAGGGACCGCAUUAUCUAAUACUAAAGUGAAAUAUAUUUCCCUUGUUUAAGGGGCCAAGAAAGCCAUGUUUAUUGAGUGACAUGAUUGGACAGUUAGGGAUCAUUCAAGAGUUUGUGAAGAUACAUUGUGAUAGUUAAAAUAUUGUUCACUUCUAAACACUUUGAAUUUGUAUGAUUUUUAUUUU